UAAAGAUGCUGUAUUUUCUCCUACCCCCACCCCUUUCUCCAUAGGACUUUCUACAAGGUGACUGCACAAAAGCAAAGCAAAAACUCAAAUGGAAACGCAAAGUCACUUUUGACGAGCUGGUGAAGGAGAUGGUGAAAGCA
rnacentral:lncRNA from 11 species